rnacentral:rRNA from 1 species
CGCGUAGGCGGGCGGUCAAGUCAGGGGUGAAAUCCUCCCGCUCAACGGGAGAACAGCUUUUGAUACUGGCCGUCUUGAGGGGGUAGGGGCAUGUGGAACUUCCGGUGGAGCGGUGAAAUGCGUAGAUAUCGGAAGGAACGCCGGUGGCGAAAGCGACGUGCUGGACCCUUUCUGACGCUGAGGCGCGAAAGCCAGGGGAGCAAACGGGAUUAGAUACCCCGGUAGUCCUGGCCCUAAACGUUGGGUACUAGAUUGUGGACUGAACAUGGGUUCACAGUCGAAGCCAAAGUGUUAAGUACCCCGCCUGGGGAGUAUGGUCGCAAGGCUGAA